GUUUGCAGUGAAGAGGAAAGCUGUUGGCAUCUGGAACUGCAAGGACUGCGGUAAGGUUAAAGCCGGAGGCGCCUACACCUUGAAGUAAGCUUCUCUAAAUCUCACCAAUAUUUUUUGUGCUAUAGUUUUCUGUAUGUGGAUCUUCCAAUGACAACUGUUUUCAGCAUGCCGAUCUCUUUAUGUUAUUUUUUCUAAACAAUAUUCGAAGACGUAAUGAACUGACUUUAUUGUGACUGGUGUUGCAGCACGGCAGCUGCAGUUACUGUGCGCAGUACCAUCAGGCGAUUGAGGGAGGCAACUGAGAGUUAGAUGGUGUAGUACUUGUAGAGCCAUAUCAUACUCUUGAAAUUUUGAUGUAUGGCAGCAUUGCGUGCCAUUUGAGUGUGACACAAGCUCUGAUUGAGCCUUUCUUCUGUG
rnacentral:lncRNA from 1 species